rnacentral:rRNA from 1 species
AUUGAACGCUGGCGGCAGGCCUAACACAUGCAAGUCGAACGGUAACAGGAAGAAGCUUGCUUCUUUGCUGACGAGUGGCGGACGGGUGAGUAAUGUCUGGGAAACUGCCUGAUGGAGGGGGAUAACUACUGGAAACGGUAGCUAAUACCGCAUAACGUCGCAAGACCAAAGAGGGGGACCUUCGGGCCUCUUGCCAUCGGAUGUGCCCAGAUGGGAUUAGCUAGUAGGUGGGGUAACGGCUCACCUAGGCGACGAUCCCUAGCUGGUCUGAGAGGAUGACCAGCCACACUGGAACUGAGACACGGUCCAGACUCCUACGGGAGGCAGCAGUGGGGAAUAUUGCACAAUGGGCGCAAGCCUGAUGCAGCCAUGCCGCGUGUAUGAAGAAGGCCUUCGGGUUGUAAAGUACUUUCAGCGGGGAGGAAGGGAGUAAAGUUAAUACCUUUGCUCAUUGACGUUACCCGCAGAAGAAGCACCGGCUAACUCUGUG